rnacentral:rRNA from 1 species
GACGAACGCUGGCGGCGUGCCUAAUACAUGCAAGUCGAGCGGAGUAAAAAGCGUGCUUGCACGGUUUUUAUUUAGCGGCGAACGGGUGAGUAACACGUAGGUAACCUGGCCAUAAGACAGGGAUAACGCACGGAAACGUGAGCUAAAACCAGAUAGGCAUUUCCACGCAUGAGGGAGAUGAGAAAGGCGGAGCAAUCUGCCGCUUAUGGAUGGACCUGCGUCGCAUUAGCUAGUUGGAGUGGUAAAGGCACACCAAGGCGACGAUGCGUAGCCGACCUGAGAGGGUGAGCGGCCACACUGGGACUGAGACACGGCCCAGACUCCUACGGGAGGCAGCAGUAGGGAAUCUCUGCAAUGGACGAAAGCCUGACGGAGC